ensembl:lncRNA
AGAGUCAGCUCUACGGCUAACAGUUACUACCCAUAGAGUCAGCUCUAAUGCUAACAGUACUACCCAUAGAGUCAGCUCUAAUGCUAACAUUACUACCCAUAGAGUCAGCUCUACGGCUAACAGUUACUACCCAUAGAGUCAGCUCUACAGCUAACAGUUAUUACCCAUAGAGUCAGCUCUACAGCUAACAGUUACUACCCAUAGAGUCAGCUCUACGGCUAACAGUUAUUACCCAUAGAGUCAGCUCUACAGCUAACAGUUACUACCCAUAGAGUCAGCUCUACAGCUAACAGUUACUACCCAUAGAGUCAGCUCUAAGGCUAACAGUUA